CUCAAUCCUGCUCAUUAUGACUUGCCUGUUCUUCAUUUCAGUCCUUUGCUAUGGAUACACUUGUCAUGGCCCUGCAAAUCCUGGGACAGGGAUUUGGACUUCAGUGCCUCUUUACUUAAGAGCAGACAUCAACAGAAUCCAAUGCAUACUCUACAGACUCCAAUCUGGUUCCCUUGGCUGACAACCCAGGGCACAACUCCUGCUUCCGUGAGUGCCUAAUACAAGAGUUGAAGCUCCCGGAGCCUUCUUUGAAAAAUGCCAUGCCUAAUGUUCUACUACAGAUGUUUGCCUUGAGUCAAAUAUGGAACUUAUGUAAAAUUAUACGUGGGUUGGUGGUGAGUAUUGCUUUUAUGAGAUAAGGAAUCAUUUCACAUUAUUCUCAUUUUACUUUAAUGCUUGGGGUCAUUUACACUGAGCAAUAGCACUUGACUCUGAAGAAACAGUGGUAGAAAUGCAA
rnacentral:lncRNA from 1 species